CCGCCCCAGUUCUCCUGGCUCUCGCCCUCUGUGGCAUAGGAGAAGCCCUCCUCCACCGAGAAGGGGUCGUCCACAUCGUAGCGCUGGCACUGGGUACCAAGAGAUGUGGCCAUAUCCCUUUACACCAUGAGCAGGUGACCAGGUGAAGAGACCAAGAAAGGGCUGCAGUGAUGGAGGUGUAACAACUGCACACAGUGGUCCCAGCAUGGCCAAGAGGAGCUGUGGAGAGAGGAGCAGGUACCAGGGCUCACAGAAGUGGAGGAAUAAAACACACCUGUGACAGAUUCUUCCUUCUCCUGUGCAACAGUUUGGCACCCACUGCCUUCACAAGCAAAACACAAUGCCAAAGAGGGGAGAAGCAAUUGGGGGAAUGUAUCAGUUGGUGCUGGAUUGAGGGACUGAGUCAAACUGAGGGGCUAUUUCAGGGUGUAGCUCUUUUCACUCAAACUCUCCUAGGAUAUCUGACAAGCUCUGCAGUUGAUGUGAAAGGCACCCAUCAAAAUUACCGCUAGGCUGACAGUGGGUGACAGUCAUCCUUGACAGGUGCAGCAGAGUGGAACACAUUUCACAGAGCAUAGC